rnacentral:piRNA from 2 species
UAGGCAAAGUGCUCUGUGAAAACACAGAAGA